UCUGCGAUGGUUUCGGACGUGCGAGCGGCGGCGGCUUCGUGCAGGGUUUCGCCAUUUCUCCCGUUUUACGCUGCUGCAAGGUCCACCCGCGCAGCUUUGUUGAUUCUCUGGGUCCUGUCAAUGGAUUGCAUGAUGGUGACGGAGGAAAGGACUCAUUAGCAAGCACCAUUUCUGUCGUAGUGUCCCGAUCCGGCAGAUCCGAUGCCCCUCUCUCGGGGGCGGAGGCCGCGGCCACAUAAUCAGUGACGGCUCGGAGUGUGAGACCUCAAGUCCUGGCGUGGGCCGCCUCGUUGCCCGCGAGCGGAACAUCGGUGUGUGCUGGGGUCCAGAGGAGGAAGACAGUAGAAUUUUGGGGUUGCGAGGGUGAUGACGAGUCGCCGUCGUAGGAAAUUUGGCGUAUGCGGGCCGCUUCCCUCGAGACAAGAUCGCGCGCGCAGCCGCGAAUUGCCGCCUGCGAGUCGCUGAUCACGAUCACACUGUUCGGCACCGCGACGAGUGCUAGGGCUAUCGCGGCUUCUUCGGCCACCUCCGUGUGUCCAGUGGUCACCAUGGCGCUCGUGAGGCAGUUACCCGUGCGGUCUACAACCGUGAUCGCGUGUGCGCUUCUCCCUCCUUCAUAUCGCACAGCGUCUGCGUACACCGCCUCGUUGCUGUUACCAAACU